ensembl:lncRNA
AGAGCGGAGGGNGAGCCGAUAAGAACCAGCUCAGGGCUGGGGCGCAGUGCUGGGAGCGGAACCCUGGGUAGGGAACGCACGUGAGUGCACGUCUUCUGCAUGGGGCCGGCGACUUUGGGUGUCUGGANGCCAGGGGGUUCCCCGAUUGUCCCGGGGCUACGUGGUCUGCUUCCCAAAGUCCCAGCUGACUGAGAUCAACUCCCACACUCCCUUCCGCAGGCUGGCCAGCUGGGACUUGGCAAGACUUCAGCUCCCCUUGGUCCCGCAUGGCUUGGCUGGGGUGGGAAAGGAAACUAUUUUUGGACCACACUUUGAUGUCAACUCAGCAAGGCAGGGCCAGAAAGCCCCACUUCAGCGCNGGCUGGGGCCCGUUGGUAUGGAAGACUAAAACACAGGCAUGAAGGUGGAAAGCAGGGGAUUUAGCACGGUACGAUGGCAACCGGACCUUGUGAGGUNCUGCAUGCGGCUGAAGAAAGCCAAGACGCCCUAAAUGAGAUGCCAAUUCAGAAAGAAGCCAUUCAGAAGCAGCUGAAAGAGGACAGGCAAGAAGAUGCUACAAUUUCUGCAGCUAAAGAAGAGGUAAACAGCACCCCAAACGGAAUAGAGGCGCACCGACUUCACGUCGUUGAGCAGGAUUUGGAGGAGUUUGUGGACAGCGUGACUGAGACCGCCCCACCCGGUCUUUCCGAGAAGUUACCAGAACCAGAAGCACCUCUGGUGCCGGAGAAGGCACCCGCCAAAUUGCCUCGCGCCGAGCAAAUUGCCGAACGGGUCCUGAGAGCCGAGAAGGUGGCAGACAGGGCACCACGGAUGGAAAAGCCGCCGCCCGCGGCAGAGAAAGCAGCGGAAAAGUUGCCACGGGCGGAGAAGGCCACGCGGGCGGAGAAGACGUCUGAAAAAUCACGGCCGGCGGGUUCUGCAGCCCCCAAAACAGCCUCCGUGAAAAGGAAAGGCGAGGGUCGUGGUUCCGGAUCAGCAAAAGACAGGCUCCCGUGGGAGGGCCUCACCCUGAACAAAUGCCUCCUCGUGGCCUCCUGCCUCGCCCUCCUCAGCGUGAGCUGCCAAGUGGUGCAAGACGUAAUAGAGUACAGCGAGGAAUUUCUNGAGGCCCAGCUGAGCAUGUGGACCGCGCAAGAAGGCAUCGCUGGGGAAACGGAUGAGCUGUGGUUUUACGAGCGUUGGUUCGACUGGUCNGACGAACCGCCUGAUGUCGAACUGGAUGAAGAGGAGCAAAUGAUAGAUAUCGAGGAGGAGGAGCCGCUGGAAGAAGAGGAAGAGCCUGAAGAGGAAGCUGGGGAGGAAGAGGAGCCNGCAGAGNAGGGGGAGGAGGAAGANGAGGAGGCGGAGCUAGCAGAGGAGGAGGUGGAGCUAGCAAAGAAGCCAGCGGUUAGAGUGAAAAGUAGAAAGAGCUGGGAGAAACCCACCAAGAGAGAGAGGGAGAAGCCCUCCAAAGGCAAAGGUCUCCGGGGUCAUAAGGCUGCUGAGGAUGAGGAGGAGGAGGAGGAGGAAGAAGAGGAAGAGGAAGAAUCAAAAGUCGUGCUGCACAAGCGGCAUCGUCGGGAGGGCAAGCAGGAGGAGCGGACGAGCCGCCAUCCCAGACAUGAGCCGGAGGCCAAGCAAAAGCAGCACCUCCUGGGGGAGCGGAAGAGGGCAUCCAAAGACGAGGGCGGCAAAGAGAAGAGCCGCCCUUCCACAAAGCCAGAGAAGGACCCAAAGUCCCGCCAGCCCGACCAUGGGGAGAAGCCACGGCGGGCACGCCGGCCUUUCCUCCCCCUGCAGCAAGACAGGCGCGCUCACAAACCCGGGAAGCGGCAGGAGUGA